UACGUAGGGGGGCAAGCGUUGUCCGGAAUCAUUGGGCGUAAAGCGCGCGUAGGUGGCCUCAUAAGUCCGCUGUGAAAGUCAAAGGCUCAACCUUUGAAAGCCGGUGGAUACUGUGGGGCUAGAGUACGGAAGAGGCGAGUGGAAUUCCUGGUGUAGCGGUGGAAUGCGCAGAUAUCAGGAGGAACACCAAUAGCGAAGGCAGCUCGCUGGGACGUUACUGACACUGAGGCGCGAAAGCGUGGGGAGCGAACAGG
rnacentral:rRNA from 1 species